ensembl:lncRNA
CCCUACUCUAAAAUUUGUUCAAAGUCAGUAAAGACAGAAGUUUGUCGGCUAAGACAUCCCAAUAGUUCAGAUAACUCCAAGGGGAGGCUGUCCUCCCCUGGUGACUUACCCUCUUAAAAUGUUUCAGUCCUUUAUCAAUUUCUGUCAUUGUCAGGUGUUGAGUAAGGUCCUGUCAAUGUAUGUUAAAAUGUCCCCCAUGGUUUCCUCACACAAAUAUUUUACUCCAAACAGUUCCCCAUAAGCAUCCUCGACUACUACUUUUAUUCCCUCUAUCUGUUUUUAAAACCCAUCUUUGUUUUUAAUCCUGUCAUUGUCAUACCCUUUCUAACUAUUUUCUUAAAGUGCCUCGUACACUUCUCCCCUUCUAAUUCCCUCUCCUUACUUCUUAAAAUAACCCCCUACUUUUCUGUUUUGCUAAAAAUGCCAUUUCCUUCUUUAAUUUCAUGGUUAAAAUUUUAAAUCAAAGACAUCAGAUGAUUAAAAGGUUCUAUUAAACUCUCAGCAAAAAAAAAAAAACCACCACAAAUACUCAAAACAAGGCAUUUAAAUCACAAAACAAACGGAAACCCAAAUUAUAACCCAGGGGAGCACCGUCCCUUCCUUAGGCGGCCCACUAGGACAUGGGCUGCCACCUUGUAGUCUGCGCACAAUAGCGUAAUGGGCCUGUAGUUCCCUAGGUUAUACUUUCCCCUUUCUUGAAAGGCAGUGUCAAGACCCCAGAAGCCUUGAUACACUCCUUUUUUUCCCCGAAAGAAAAUCUCUGCCCAAUAUUUUCCAAAAGGUAACAUAAAACUCCAGAGCAUGCCUAUCGUAACCUGGAACCUUGUCAGUUGGUAAAACCCACAAAGCAGCCUCAACCUCCGCAAGCUCGAACGGGCGGUCAAGAUCAGAGGCUGCCUCCGGGGGAACCUUUUCCCUCAAAAACCCUAAGACGACAUGUUCUGUUGAGCCAUCUAUGUCCUUCUCCUUAAAAUAUUAUUGGUAGGAGGACGCUGCUUCUACCAUGCCCUUGGGGUCAGAAACCAUUCCCCCCCUUCUGUUUGCAGCUGAGCAAUACCUGCUUUGGCACGGUCAACUUUAACUUGUUUUAAAAAAUAUGAACUGCUAGCCUCCCCAAACUCGAACUUGUCUGUUUGACACCUAAAGAGAAAGUCCCUGGCCUUCCCCUGAAAAUACAGCCCCAACUUACUUUUUAAAACCUCCAUCCUCUCCACAUCACUCCCCUCACCCUUGUUCUCAGCUGACACCAAGGCAAUCAGCUCCCCCUGAAGCCGUUGAAAAACCUCCCUAUCUGUACGGGCCGUAGCGACACAAUGUGAAAUGGCCAGGGUGCGCACAUUGCGCUUUACACACCCCCAUUCGACUAGGGAACCAAAAAAUGGCUUGAGGUCACCCAAUAUCUCAUAAUGGGAUUUAAAAGCCUCCCUAAAAGAAAGAUAUGCCAAAAUGUGGUUGUUUAAUUCCCAAAAACCUCUGCCAAAAAUUGGCACUUCUACCGAGAACACUACCUGGGCUGGAGAAAUGGUGACUUGCGAGACUGGCACAGAUAGUUAAAAAAAAUCAAAUCUACAAGACUACGGAAACCCCUUGUGAUUUCCCAUGUCAUACCCUCCUCCCCAUUGGGGUCACUGAAUCUGAAAUAGUCCCUAAAAGAAAAAAAUGUAACCACAGAAACCAAAUAGGGUAGGCUAAAGUCUCCAGUGCUUUCGAAGGAGUCAAUGAAAUCCCCGCCCAAAACCACAGUUCUGUUAGUAACGCCAACAUCUGGCAGGAACAAAAAAAAUAUAUUCUACCUCGAGGUUCAGCAG